CACGUGCUACAAUGGACAGAACAAAGGGCAGCGAAACCGCGAGGUUAAGCCAAUCCCACAAAUCUGUUCUCAGUUCGGAUCGCAGUCUGCAACUCGACUGCGUGAAGCUGGAAUCGCUAGUAAUCGCGGAUCAGCAUGCCGCGGUGAAUACGUUCCCGGGCCUUGUACACACCGCCCGUCACACCACGAGAGUUUGUAACACCCGAAGUCGGUGAGGUAACCUUUUAGGAGCCAGCCGCCGAAGGUGGGACAGAUGAUUGGGGUGAAGUCGUAACAAGGUAGCCGUAUCGGAAGGUGCGGCUGGAUCACCUCCUUUCUAAGGA
rnacentral:rRNA from 1 species